rnacentral:misc_RNA from 1 species
GAUGAAGAACGUAGCGAAAUGCGAUAAGUAAUGUGAAUUGCUGAAUUCAGUGAAUCAUCGAAUCUUUGAACGCAUCUUGCGCUCCUUGGUAUUCUGAGGAGCAUGCCUGUUUGAGUGUCAUUAAAUUCUCAACUACACUGACUUUGAAUUGGUGUGGCUUGGAUUUGGGGGGAAAAUUGUUGUGGGCUUUUUGUAUAGUCUGCUCCCCUGAAAUUGAUUAGCGGUACCUUUGUGGAACUGUCUACAGGUGUGAUAAUUAUCUACAUCUUAGACAUCUGCUGGAAUGCUGCUUUCUAAACCUUACUUGUAUUGACAAUCUUGACCUCAAAUCAGGUAGGACUACCCGCUGAACUUAAGCAUAUCAAUAAGCGGAGGA